rfam:Dipodomys ordii contig_8089, whole genome shotgun sequence.
AGACAUGAGGGCAAUCUGACUAUGACACUGGCAUCCCACUGAUGACAAGGAUCGAUCACUGAUCUGACUGUAUAGGAGGGUAUACCCUUCCCUUCUCACAGCCCUAUAUGUCCCUUCCUAAGGCUGCAAGGACAGCCUUCCCCCAUAGAACAGGACCUUUCUUAGGUCAAAGGCACAUAAGUAGCUGUGAUCUACAUGUUGGACAUGUUGUUUAUCUUAUGACAAGCAACAGAACAGAAUAAAGUCUGGCCAGUACUGACAUCCUACAGGACACUCGGA